AAGUCAUCCACCCUCAAGUACAGUGGCUUAAAAUAACAGUCAGUCACUUUGCUCAUAGGUCUGUAGUUUGGGCAGGGCUUGUCUGGAACAGAGCGUUUCUGUGCUGUAUAGUCAGGGGUAGAGCAUGCACUUCUGCGUGCUUAGUUUUUCUCCGUGUGUGCAUCUCCACAAAAGUAGUUUGGGUUUGGCACAGUGUGGUUGGCUAAGAUCCAAGAAUGAGUGUCCCAAGAGACAGGAAGUGGAGGUUGCCAGGUUUCUUAGGAUUUGGGCCCAGAAAUGGGCACAAGGAUCUUCCAAUAGCUGAGCAGUCACAGACCUCAGAUUCAAAGCAAGAGUGUAGAUUCCCCAUCUAAGAAAGAGAUGGGUGUCAAAGACUUAGGGAGCAUUCUGUAAAACCAUUAAGGAUGUCCUAAGAACACCACAAUUGAAAGGGGCCUUUAUGAUUCUCUAGCUCUGUUGGACUAGGUAUUUCUCCUCUAUUAUACCUACAGCUUCUCUCUGAAGGAGACUUAACCAGCUGGAAUAACUUAAGUGCCCCGAAGAAGCUCUGGGCAAGUGGCUUGGCAAACUGACGGUAUUUUCUAGGAAGAAAAGGUUACUGUCUUCUCCCAGAAGAGGCAGUUCACAGCAUGGUAUGUAAAACCUGAUGGCUGUCAGUCCCUAUGUACUCUCCAACCAGGGACAGUUACAUAGUGCACAACUAAACGUGUCAGUCUGUCCAGUCUUUGUUAGAGCACACCCACCAGUCCCUGUGUUUUGAGACAGCUGAUCCAAUUGUGGUGUGGGAUGACUUCUUAAAAAUUCUUCCUUCACACCCACAGGAUGGUUAUUAUAAACAAAAAACAAAACCCAAAUGAGAAAAUAGCCAAGUGUUGACAAGAAUGUGGAGAAAUUGGAAUAUUUGGAUAUUGCUGGAAGGUAAAAUAGGGCAGCGGCUGUUGGAAAACAGCAUGAAAGUCCUCAAAAUGCUAUCAUUAUUAUUUUUGUGGUACUGGGGUUUAAACCCAGGGAUUUCAAACUGAGCUACAUCUCCAACCCCCUUUUAAUUUGUUUUUUGAAAGUUUGAGACAAAAGCUUGCCGAGUUGCUGGAUUGCCCAAAUGGACUCAAAUUUGUGAUCCUUCUGGCUCAGUGUCCAAGAGUGUUUGCACUACCGCAUCUGGCUAAUUAAUCCUUGAAAUAGUAAAUAGAAAACUUCUAUGUAAUCUAUGAGAUUUACUGCCUGGGAUAUUAAAAUAAUUGAACCAGGAACUUAGACAAUAUCUGUACACCCAUGUUAAUCGCAGAAUUAGUCCUAAUAACCAGAAGAUGAGAACACCACAAAUAUUCAUGAAUGAAUGAAUGAAUGAAUGAAAUGUGUUGUAUACAUCCAGUGGCAUGUUGUUUAGCCUUAACAGAAAACAAAAUCUUGACGCAUGAGUGAAAGCCUACAGCCUGGAUGAAUUUUGAGGACAAUACGCUAAGCAAAGUAAAGAAGACACAAAAGGACAUACAUUAUAUUGUCACAGGACAAAAAGCCACAGCAAUUUAGAACCUUAAUUGGCUUUCUUUAUGAUUCUAGAAUCAGGCUACACUUUAUCCCAUAAAAGAGAAACUUAGUUUCUUUCUUUUUUUCUUUCUUUUUAUUUUCUCUUUCUUUCUUUCUUUCUUUCUUUCUUUCUUUCUUUCUUUCUUUCUUUCUUUCUUUCUUUCUUUCUUCUCUCUCUCUCUCUCUCUCUCUCUCUCUCUCUCUCUCUCUCUCUCUCUCUCUCUCUCUCUUUCUUUCCUUUCUUUUUUGCUACCUGGUAUUACACUCAGGGCCUUCACACUGAGCUAAUUCUCCAGAAAUUUUUACUUUUUAUUUUGAGAAGAAUCCUCACUAAGUUGCUAAAUUGCCCAGGUUGGGCUCAAACAUGCAAUCCCCCUGCCUCAGUCUCCUAGAGUGCUGGGAUAAACAGGCUUUGCACCAUCACAUCUAAUAGACUAAGCAUUGUGAUGGGCUGCAGAAGAGGUUGGUUUUGUAGACAGAAAACAUUUGAAGAAGGCAGAAACAAAAGAAUGGCAACAACAAAUGGUUUGACCAUUUCAAAGUUACUUUCCUGAAAGGUGGGACAGAGGCACAGAGUAGUAGACAAAUAGCUCAUGAGUUUUUAUGAGUUUACUUCAAGGUUAUCUCUAUGUGUGUGUAAGGCAGGGGGUAGCUCACUAUUGUGCUGGUUAAACUGUCUGCUUGGGAAUCUUGACAGCUUGCUUUCUACUGGGAUUUCUUGGGAGGUAACAUAACCAAGUUAAUUUCAGCUUGGUGACAUGGAACUUUGGUGCGUGUGACUUCAUUUUGAGUUUUAGCCCAAUUUGUUCAAGAGCUUAGUCCAAAAAAUAGCUUCUUAUCAUUUUUAUUGAACAGUAUGAUGCCAUUUAUGUGAGGGCUUUAAAACUGUUAUAUUCAGAGUAACGGAAGGUAGAAAGUGACUACCAGGAGCUUGGAGAAUGGGGACUUGUUUAUGUAUUUGAGUUUUGCUUUAGGAUGAUGAAGAAGUUCUGAAGGUGGAUGGUGGUGAGUGAAGGUUGCAUGACAAUGAGAGAGAAAGGUACAUGUAAAAUGAUUAACAUAAUACAUUUAUAUAUAUAUAUAUAUAUAUAUAUAUAUAUAUAUAUUUACCAUAGGAAAAUUUUUUUCCUGAUUCAAGAUGAAAUCUUGUUUGUGCUACCUAUUGACCUCUAAGUUCAUAAAAUGAGUUUACGGUCUCUUCUAAGGAAGAUCUUCAGAUAUAAAUAAGUGUUGAGUCACGAGCAAGAUCUGCUUUUGAAAGACAUUGGAGUUGCCUCAUUCUAGGUGAGAAUAACACAAACAUGCCUUCUUGUUGGAGGUUUAUCUCAUCUUCUGUGUUUUACUUUGGAGAAAAUGACUUUGGUAUUUUUGGCAAAGUUAGCUUCUUAUAAGCAAGACUAAUAUACUUCUCCUACCUCUUUAUUGCCUGAUUUAUACUUGUAAAGAGCAGACUGUCAACAGAUUUAACUGUUUUCAAUUUGAUUUCCAAAGGCAGAUCCUUGGGAGGUGAGUUGGAUGCAGAUUUGCAGGUUUCCUAGGUUUCAGGGGAAACUUCCUCCAUCUCACUUAAUUCUGGUUCAGGCAGCUCAUUAAGUGGAGCAUUGCUGGGAAGGGAUUUAUCAUGGCUUCUCUCGGCAUCACAUCAUAUUGAUUUCCUGUGCAAUAACUGCUGUAGAUUAAGAAGUGCUUGAGAUAGCACUUAAAAACCAGUGUUUCAUGUUUUCUUUGGGCAAAUGGUCUUCUAAAUUUGAGUUUCCUGAUUGACAUUCACAAGUCCCUUUCACAGCUGCUGACUCCUGAGAACCUCAAUCUUGAGAUGCAAUAAAAAAUUUCAACUUCACAGCAUUUGCAGGGAAAGUGUACAUUUUUUAAUUUCUUGGGGGGAGGAAAACUAAAGAAUUGAAAGAAGAACCACAAGGAAGAACCACAAGGCUGGUUGUGAGGAGAAAAGCAAGAACUAAAGAGACAUUCUCCAGAGACAAGAGACCUGGAACGGACACUGAAGCUCCCACAUGGUGGGUGUGGUGGCUGGGACUAUUGGCAGUGAAGGCCCUUGGCCUGAGGGUACAAAGACAAAUCCUCUCAGUUGAGGUGUUUUUAUUUUUUCCCUUCUGGUACUAGGGAUUGAACCCUGGGCACGAGCAAUAAAUUACAUCCCCGUAUUUUUUUUUUUGGUUCCAGGGAUUGAACUCACAACCUCAUGCUUGCCGAGCAGGCACUUUAUGUCACUGAGCUAAAUUCCUGACUCUAUCUCCAGUACUUUUAAAAUUAAAUUAAAUUAAACAUUUAAAAUUUUGAUACAAAUCUCGCGAAAUUGCUCUGGACUCCAACUCACAAUCUUCCUGCCCUAGCAUCCCAGAGUAGUGGGAUUACAUGCGUAGCAUCAUCCCUGGAUAAAGGUCCAUUUUAAAUGAAAACUCACUAUAGGCAGUUUGCUUCCAAAAGGAAAUAUGGUUAACAUUUGAACAACUUGGGGGGUAGGGAUGCUGGCCCCAACAGAAAAAUCACUUUUGGAAAAAAAAAUUAUAUUAAGACUUUUAUUAACAGAUGCUUGCACUUUGUUGGCUUUUUCUGAGAAACUUGGGUUAUAGACUUUUGUUAUAAAUUUCAGAUGAGAUCUUGAAAGUCUCAAGUUGGCCAGAUAUGAAACAAAUUUAAAGGCCUUGAAAAGUUUAUUGAGAAAAACCAGGCUCAAAAAAUUGUCAUUAUUCUUUCAUUUAAAUUCUGUAUCAUUGUUUUUAUUGUUUUUUUCUCUUUAAAAUAAAUUUAAAAGGAAUCAAAAAAGAAUGUGCCAUGCUGCAUAGAUAAUGCAGAUGAUUCUAGUUAGCUGGUAAAUGGACAAAAAGUAUGCAUUUAGUAUAUUAAGUUCCAACGUUUUGUUCAUUUCCUAUUGUUGGAAUUUGACAUUCAUUUCUCCUUGUGCAUGGAUGGCCACGUGAUGGUAGAUAUGGUAAGCUGACAUUUACUCAGCCCUGUUCUGCUUCAGGAAUGAAUAAAAUCUCACUCACUCAACCUACUGAUGGGUUGGCUGUUUUCCUAUGUUUACCAUCUUAUGGUGUCUGCAUCAUUGCUGAAGUUAUGGUGUGGAUGUUGGGGUGCCUGCUGAUCUUGUAUUUCAUCUCCUUGAUUUUCCUUAUUCUCUUUACCACCAUUCUUUCCAGGCUGCCUUGGUAAGGAGGGGCUCGGCAGAGUGAAUGUAUAAUGCUGUAACACUUGUGACACUGUGUCUCUGACUGUGGCUGUCAGCAUCCUCUUCCUCUUCUUCAUGCACAAGAAGCUGAAAAACUGGUGGAUGCCCAGGUGGCCCCAAGCCCAUGAAUGGCGGUCCAGCCAUGCCACCCUGCCUUGGAGCCAACUGAGUGUGGACUGAAACCUCCAAAAACUGUAAGAAAUAAACCUUCCCUUUCCCAACUUUGGGCUUCAGGUAUUUUGUCUCAUUUUGUCUCAUAGGUAUUUACUCAUAGAGUAAAAAGUAACUAAGACAAAUAGCUUGUACAUUAUUUUGGCUUCUACUCUGUAGAGAGGAAGCUGGAAGUGUAGCUUAGAGGUAGAGUCCCUACAUAACAUGUGCAGGGCUCUGGGUUCAGUCUCCAGGAGCAUUAAAAAAAUGUACAUGGCUGUUCAUUUCAGCCCUAUUUGUAAAAGUAAAAAGCUGAAAAUAACCUUAGUAUCUAUGGGGACUGUAAAUAAAUUAUGAUAUAUCCAUACUACAAAAUACUAUUUCAUAUAAAUUUCAUCUUUGACUUAAAAAAUUACUAAGAUAUGCAGUAUUAAGUAGAGAAUAAAUCACACUAUGUCAUAUAAGGUACAGUAGAUACUAUUUAUAUAAAAUAAAACAAAAAUAAAAUGCAAUUAUACAGAUUUGUAUAUGUUUAUAAAUUACUGGAAGAAGGGUUGGAAUAAUAAGUACUAAACAGUUAAAAAUCAAUAACCUCUAAGAGAGGAACAGAAUGAAAGAAUGUGAGUAAAAGGCUCUUUUAUACUUUACACACUUCUGUAUUUUUUGAAGAUUUCUAAAUGACAAUACCUUACUAUAUGUAUGUAUGUCUUGAAGUGACGUUAUAUUCAUGUAUUAUUUAUGUGACAUUUUUGGUGAGACUAGCAUUGGCUACUUGCACUAUUACCACCAUCACCCUGGAGAAAACACAGAGAACAUCAGAAGUUUUUUUUUCUUAGAUAACCUAAUAGUUGGCCUACUCUUUUAGGUAUCAUCAAACCAUAUAACACAUGGGUUAAACCUAGUCUGCAACCUAUUUGUACAGAGAAAGUCAUUAAAAACAACUCUCACUUUUUAUAACAUAUCAUCUAUUGCUGCUUUUGAACUUUAAGAACAAAGCUGAGCAGUCACAAGAGCAGCCAUAUAAUUCUCUGUAUUCAUCAUUUUCUUAUCACUGGGACAAAAGAUCUGAUACCAGCAACCUAACGGAAGAGAAGUUUAUACCAGCUCACGGUUUUGGAGGAUUCUGUCCAUGGCUGACUGGCCCUGAGCCAGAAAUUCCAUGGCAUAAAAAAAGCUGCUCAAUCUAUGCAGCCAGGAAGCAUAGAGAAAGGAGCUGAAAACAACACUUCCUUUCACAUCACGUCCUCAGUGACCCACCUCUUCCACCAUCAGGCCUCACAUCCUGACAGUACAUUCAACUAUGAACUCAUCAAUGGAUGAAUUUGCUAAUGAGCCUAGAGUUCCAAUCCCCUUCCAAAAGCAUCAUCUCUAAUCGUGUGAGGUGGGGCAUUGCUCACAAAUGCAUGUCACCAAUGAACCACUCAUGCAAAGGCAUGAGGCUUAGGGGCCACCAACAUAAACCAUGACACUAUUCUUCUAGAACUGAACAUUACAAAGAGAAGUUACUGUAUUCAAUGAAAAAAUGACUGAUUCUCCUUACAAAUGAUAAGCUCUACAUGUGAGGUGACAACUACACAAUUGGGAGAUAGAAAGGAUAGACUUGCUGGGUACAUGAUAAGUAAGCUCUGCUUCAAAUGAAUGCAGUGCUAUGGCUGUACCUUUAGACUAUAGAGAAUGUGGUCUUCCAGUGUAUGAGUCCAUUUGAUCAAAAUGUCUUCAAUAAGUAUGUACAGAAUUUUAGAGUUGAAAGAGACUUUUACUCUGCAUUCUAUUUUACUCCUGAUAUUAUGUAGAUGUGUGAUCUUGGCAAGUUCCUUGGGCUUCCUAAGCCUUUUCCUUACAUAUAAGAAGUUGUAAGUUUGCAUUAUCUAUGGAAUUUCUUAGUCUGAAUGAUUCUAUCAUUUAUUUCUAAUGAUAAAUUAUUUCUAAUUUAUUUCUUAUGAUUUUAAGAUCAAAAUAUGUAUCUCGGGUACAAAAAUAGGUAAUUAAACAUGUUUCCUUAUUUACUAUUGAUCAGGAUAUAGUGAAAAAAAAGUUUUGGGAAGAUUCAUUUGACAGAAAUGUUUUACUCACUGCGUAGUAAACAGCGGCCAGAAAAGAUGUUGAUGUGACUUCCUAGUGUGGAGCAUGAAGGUGGGCAAUGAAAUGAUGAUGGAUAAUGAUUUUGUGGCUUGAAGGGAAACUUUAAGGCACAAAUCAUGAAAAGAAUCAAUAUAACUGCUAGCCUAUGCUCUAUAACAAGCCCUCCUCAAACCUUGGUAAUAUACUGGUUUCACAGAACAGUGGAAUCACAGAAUCAGCUCAUGAUUUAGUGGGUUAGUGAUUUGGUCAAAGCUCAGCAGGGGACUGGUUUAGUUGGUUGUGGUUGUGCUCGUUUAUCAGUUGGAUUUGCUCACAAAUCUGCAGCCCACUAGCAUUCAAUGGCCUCACUUGCAUAUCUGGCUUUUGGCUGGAGUAAGGGUAUGGUAUGUGGGCCAUAUGUUUUCAUUAUCCACAAGGUUGCAUUGGCUCAUUCAUCUCACGGUAUUGCCCAGAGUCAAGGCACUCAAGUGUCUAUUGGCAUCGUGUUUGCCAUUGCCAUUAUUCCAUUGGCCCAAGCAAACUGAAUGGUCAAGCCUGGAACCAGUCCUAGAGAGACAAAGUAACGCAACCAUUUAUGCAGAUUAUCUAAAAAUUUGGUGUUGUUGAUGGGGGACUAGGUUGGAUCUCAGGAAUAAAUCAGGAAGAGUAAAAAAAUAGCAACUUGAAAGUUUCCUAGACAAUGCUCAAAAUAGUUCAACAGUGUUUAUUGAUUAAAUACUAUAAACCAGGUACUAUGUAUAGUGAUAAAAAGACCUGGCCUUACUCUUAGAAAGACCAGAGUCUAAUGACGUGAAGGGGUAAACAAAUUGCUUGAAAAUAAGUCACUUAGUGUUAGGACUGUCUGCCAAUUAGGGAGGCAAAAAACAUUUGGGAAAAGGGCUCUCUAGUACGUAUUUUUGGCUUUGAAGAUCAUCGCAUCUGAGUCUGUAGAAACUGACUGUAUUCUGCUGUAAUAGCAUGAAAGGCAUGAUAGACAAUAUGAAAACAAAAAGGCUGGGUAAGGAAGAUUGAUGGUGAAUUCAUCAGAGUAGUGGGAAAGGGGAGCCACAUUUGGGAAUCCCAAAGGGUUUAUGGGAGAGGAAUUGAUUUUGAAACAGUUUGAAAGCAUUCAAGCAGAGAUGGCUGAUAUAGGAGGGCAUAUGGAGCUGCAUAUCUGGGUCUAGUAAGGUCUUCUGGCUCAAAAUACAACAGCAUAGUAAUUAGUAACUGAAGCCACAAGUGGAAUGCAUUUCAUUUGGAGCCAAAAUGUGAAAAAGAAAGGGCAAGGAGACUGGAAGGGGCCUUACACAACAUUUUUUUGUUAACAUAAGCAACAACUAGAAGCUUGUCAAAAAGAGACAUCAGAGAAUGAAUUAGAAAAGGGCAGUGUCUCCAACAUAGGGGAAGAAGAGUUUCAGGAAUGUGUGAGCAUUCAAGAGAGGUCAAAGGGAAUGAAGAGUGACACCACGUCAUGGAGCUGGCCACUGAGGGGAAUAUUGUUCUAGGAAUGUCAAGCUUAGCCUUUAGGCAAACUCCUCUGCUAUACACACAUGCAAAAUAACUGAGUAAUUAGAAACAGUGCAGAAAGACAUGCAGCAACAUUGCUUAGUGUGGGUAUAAAUCUUUUUGCUCUAUUUAUAUUUGUGGAGGAAAACGAACGCCAUCUAUAAUUAGCAUGCUCAUUAGGUUUUUCAAGACUUUUCUAACUUUUGGAAAAGCAAUUCAUUGGGAAACAAUCCUAUUUAUAUUGUUAUAUAGGAGUGCACAAUGGUAAGGUAAAGUUUAAAGCAAAACAUCUUUCUAAAUUCUAGGUGAGGUCUUUAAAACUCAAAAUUUUUUUUCAUUACCAUAUAUGAAGGCUUUUAAAACUAAACACAUAUUAAUGGUGCAUAUUAAUGGAGUUCAGUGUGAUAUUUCUAUAUGUGUACAUAGCAUUUAGUGAUCAAAUACAACCAACUUUCAUCUUCCCAUUCUUUCCUCCCCACAGCCCUCUCAUAUCUAGUAAUGAUUAUUCUACUUUCAGGGCCUCAUCUUAUUUCUGAGUUUUAAAAAAGAGUAGGUGAGAUUUCUAGGUUUUUUUUCUUUGUGGGUCUGAGAUUUCUAGCUUUUAAUGUAUAUUUGUUGACUUCAUCUAAGCAAUGCUCAAUGCAGGGUAUGUUCUGAGCAAAAGCUUCUAAUUUUUUUCAUCAUUGUCAACCAAAAGUGUGAGACAACAGUGCUACAAUAGGUGAAUUUUGUGCUGUAAAAGAUUUUGAAUGAGGAGUUCAGAAUUUUCACUGAUCCCUCUCCAACAACUCAGCCAUCUUCCAUGGGUAGCAGGUGUUCACUCUAGGAGUUCUUUUGUCUCUCUGCUGAAAGAUGCAGAAGUAACCUUUACACAAGGAUGAAGAAGAGAUUAAAAUCUCAGCGACCUCUAUUUACAGCUUUCAACAUAUUUGGAAGAUGUAUGUGUGAGUUUGCUAGGCUGCCCUAACAAAAUGCCACAGACCGCGAGCUCACACAACAGCCACUUAUUUCUCCUGGUUCUGGAAGCUGAGUGUCCAAGCUCAAGGUACUGGCACUGAAAAUCUCUCCUGGUGACUUGGGGAUGGCUAUUUUUCCCUGUGUCCCCACAUGAUCUUUCCUCUGUGACUGUGCUUAUCUCUGUACUGAAGGUAACUGAAUCCUGAUCUCCUUUUCUAUGGACGUUCCUCCUAUUGGGUAGCCAUCCCCCAUCUCAUUUUACCUCAGUUACCUCUUCAAAGCCCUGUCUUCACAGUCUGAGAUGCUAGUGCUAGGUGGUACUAUUCGGAGGUACUGCUCACCAUAUGAAUUUUGGAGGACACAAUUCAUCCCAUACCAAAGUCUAUAUUUGCACCCUGUGGCCUCAGUAGUGUUUGUAGAUGUGCACACUUGCCUGGCCCAUCAGCUCUGCUCCAAUUUGCUCUCUCAAGUACUGCUCUCUGGGCUUCAAUGAUCUUAAAAAAGUGUUCGGUUUGCUUCAUGUGCAUAUAUAUUUCAUUUCCUGUUUCUCUAAAUUAUAAGAACACUUUACUACUUUAUUCGUGAUUGUAUUCUAUGUUUUCCUCUUCUCAAAGCACUUUUUUUUCUGUCUCCUUUUAAUCAAGUAUGCAUCAUAUCUUCUAUGUUGGUGUUUCACCAACAUCUUAUAAUUCCUAAAGCAUUCUGUGGUCAAAGAAUAUUGGGAAAUGCUGAGCUGGGUGAGUCUGAGGAAGUGGUUUUGGGUGUUACUCAUCAUUUUAGUGAUACUGUGUUUGUAUUAGUCACUGCAGGUGAGGUUUACUCAUGUUGCAGUUUGUGACUUCUGUCUGAAAGUUUAACAAAAUCGUGACUUGAGGAUACUAAGUUGUAGAUAUUUUUUAAAAGUUAAACUUAGUUUGCACCCUUUCCUACUUUAUUCUUUGGAUAUAUGCUGCCUGCAAUAGUGUUUUUCCAAAACAUUUAGUUUCUUUAUAUUGCCAUUAUAUAGGAAUUAAAUUAAAUGUUUUUACAAAAGACCUCAUUCCCAUCCUAUCUUUAUUUGGAGCAAGUUCUACAAUUUCAGAAAUAGUGUUUUGGUCCGUGUAACAGAAGUCCAUGACCUGGUGGCUUAUAAAUGACAGAAUUUUUCUUCUACUUCUAAAGACCUGGAAGUCCAAGAUCAAGGGAUAGAAUAUUCAUGGUCUGGAUUAUAAACAUUAUCUUCUUUACAUGUUCUCAGAUGGUAGGAGGAGCAAGCAAGCUCCAUUGUGCUCUUGAAAAGAGCACUAAUCCCAACAGUCCUCUUUUUUUUCUUUGGUAUUUUUCAUUUUUAUUGGUACCAAGGAUCAAACUCAUGAGCGCCUGCUUGCAAGGCAGAUGCUUAUGCUGCUGAGCUAAAUCCCCAGCCCCUCAACAGUCCUCUUGAUACAACCAUCUCUCAGAAGGCCCAACUUCCUAGUACUGCUAUCUGGAGGCCAGUAAUUGAGUAUGUGAAUUUUGAGGGAAUCUAAACAUGGAGAUUAUUACAAAUUGCAUCUACAUGUCCAUCCCAGAAUCCUGAAAGGAUACUCAUUUUUUUCUCCCUUGAACUUCAUUACAGGAGAUUCUAAUUGUCAUUUCUUUCCAUCACUAUCUAUUUCAGGAAUUCUGUUGUCUUUAUUAUUUGUUAUUGGCAAUGCUCUAGGUCGAGCCUACAUACAUACUCUCUGAGAUUAGCCAGGCAAACACAUUUGAAAACUUUCAUGCAAAUACUAUCCUAUCUCACUUAUCUUGCCCUCUAGUCCAGACUUUACUCAUGCUAUGAGCUCUGACCACCAUACUGGCUCAAUUUCUUUUCAGAAGCUCACUCUCAUCCUUUGACCAUAAACUGUGACUCACUAGUGGGCACUUCCCAGUUUUUACCAGUCAGAUCACUUAUACCUAUCAUUCAGGAUGUUAAAGCAUAUUCAUUCUCAGUUUUCUAGAUUGCUUAAAUGUUUCUUUGAUUAUCAUCUUCCUUUUACUUGGAGUCUGUCAUGGAAAACAAUAGUCUCUGGUCUCACAAAUUUUAACAGCUAAAAGGAUGGGUAUAUGUAGCCAUCAUGCUGCUCAAUCUAGAAUGAGAUAUUUUUAAAGUUUGUGUUAGAUUUUUUUUCUGGAUAGUUUGUAUUUAGUCCAUUUAAUUUUUAAAAAUGUAUUUAAAGCCAACAUUUAAAAAUUUGCCUAGUAUUCCUGUAAGAAAGUAGGGCAGGUUUAGACAAAUCUCAUUUCCUUAUGAGAGUUUCUCCGGAAUCUGUAUCAUAAGCUGCAUGGUCUCUGGAACAUGAAGUGACCUCACCAUCAUAGUGAUCCAGCUGCCUAAAGAUUUCACUGCUUCUUAGGUGUAGGACAAAUGCUUGUAGGAAUGAUUUUUGACCAAUGUUAGUGUGACUAUUAAACUGGAAAAGUUGUUAUUUUAUUCAGUCUUUGGGUGGGAAAGGGACUUUUCUAGAUUUUAAGCUUGUGAUACUGGAAAUUUUAAAGAAAUAAAGUUUUGCAAUUCUUUAAUAAAAAAUCUGAAGAGAAACUAGAAUUUCUCUGGAAAUUCAAUUAUACUGAAUCAUUAUGGUGAGAUCCAAUUUUUUUCUCAAAGGGGAAAUUUUAUAUUUGAGGACCACUUGCCUUCCUAAAGUCUUUUACAUACCUUAGAGCUAUUCUAAAAACAGUGUUGUAGGUGAUCAAUAACAAAUGACAAAUUUUUUUGGUGACUGGCAUUUCUCUUAAAGGGUCCAAAAUAUUGUGGGCCCAAUAUUGUGGGGGACCAAAAUAUUGUGAUAUUUUCCCUUUCCAAAAUCCUCAACUUGUUCAAAUUUAGAAAUGGAAUUUCUUGAUAUCAGAUAGGUGAAAAUUUAUCAUUCUUCAGAUGUUGGGCCCCUAGACACUUUGCUGACAGAUAUAAGCUGUGAGAACUCCUCAUGUUUCAGAGAUUAUCUGCAAAUAAGCUGUAGGAGCAGAAUUUUAAAAUAGAACAUUAUCACAGUGUUACUACAUCUGGAGUAAGACAGUAUCCUAAUUUGCAAUAUAUGUACUUAGGAGGGUGGCAAAUAUAUAUUACUGAGGUAUAUAAAAUUAAUGUGUAUAAUACUUCUAUUGCAUGGAUCUAUCAUUAAAAUAAAAAUUUUUACAAAUUUAACAUUAUUUUCUUGACAUUCUACUGUAUAUUAGGCAGUAGAUAAAUCAUCAACAAUAGGUUUGCCUUCAUGGAGCUUGUAUUCUAGUGGGGAAGACAACUGACCACUGGAAAAAAAUAUAUUUAUGUAAUUUACAUAUCUAUAUACCAGACUAUAUAUUUAUAAAAUAAUUUGGUGGUAAAUGAUGUAAAAAAUAUAAAUAAGAGUAGAUAAAGAUUGUGAUGGGAGAGGACUACUCUCCCUACUCUUAAACUAGUUUAAGAGUAGUUUAGGUAUGUCUCUGUGUAGUUGUGGCAUUUGAGAAGCAACUUGAAUGAGAUAGGGUAUGAACUAUUCAAAGGUUCCAAGCAGAUCUUUCCAGAAGAAGAGUUGGCAAGUGUCUGGACAAUACAGGGUAUGAUGCUCAAAGGCCAGGGCCAACAGAGAAGUGUUUACAAGAAAGAUAGAAGAAAAAAAGAGAUGGACCAAGCAGUCAUGAAUUGCGUCAUACAAAGCCUUACAGAUAUAUAUUAGUUAGCCUUAGCUCUCCAAUAACCAAGAAUAAAGAUGGGGUUAUAUAUGGAGAGCUUUAUUAGGUGAAUAUUUGGGUGAGAGAAAAUGGGAGGAUCCAGUGAAGGCUGGGAAAGGCAUGAGACUGUGAGGCAAGUCUAAUCCAAGCAGAGGGUGAGAGGGAAGAGGAGUGGGUGGAAGGAUCCUAGACGGCUAUGCAGUACAAAGAAGAUUCAGCAAAGUCACCAGUGAGUUCAAGAUGGCUGCCAAAGGCGUCACGUGUUCCCCAGAUGUAUGUUGGAUUUAGGGUCAGUCAUUAGCUUGGAGCAUCUGAUGGGAAAGGUGAUCUCAUUGCAAACAGCGAUGAAUUCACAGUGUAGCAACAAAGGGAUUUGGUUAGUUAUGUUCCGCUGGUUAGAGAUCUGAGUGAUGCACUUAGGGUAGCCAUAAUAUGGUCAAGAAUUUGGGAGUUAUUGUAAAUUGACAGGCAGUAACUGGUGGGUUUCAAAUAAGGGAGAAGGUGACCUGGUUACUUUAAAAUGACUCUCAAAAAUAGAUUUUGAAGAUAUGGAAGGAUAUUGCAGAGUAUUAUUGAAAAAUAAAGAUUUUGAUUAGAGUAGUAGAAAUAGAACUUAGGAGAUUCAGUGAGAUUUUGGAAGAAUUUGGGGAUAUAACUGAGAAACUGAGAAUGGAUUGAAUGUUAUAGUUGUCUUAGUUACUUUCUCUUGCUAAAACACCAUAUGCAACACCUGAAACUUAAGGAAAGAGUAGAGAUUUAUUUUGAUUCAUGUUUUUAGUCCAUAUUCACUGUCUUAGUUACUUUUCUCUCCUUGCUAAGACAAAAUACCUGAUACUCAAAAUGAAGGAAGCAAAGGUUUAUUUAUCUUACAGUUUGAAGAUUUUAGUCCAUACUCAGCUGGCUCCAAAGCAGGGUGGCACAACUGAGGGGCCACCAUUCAUGACCACCACAGCAAGAGUGAACGAGCAAAAAGACAUGUCUUCUUCCCAUCCUUACAUUGUAUGUGGGCUCCACUCUUGGAUAUGUGCAGCACUCACACCACCAAUCCCAGUGCUAGACAACAAACCAAUCACAAAUGCUGGAUUCAGCCACUUCCAUGACUACAUGAGGAUUGGGGGAGCCACCUAGACACAAACCUUAACACUGCUGGCUCCAAUUCAGGGCAAUAUGGCUGAGGACAAGCUGCCCAUAUCCUGGCAGGCAGAACCAGAGAGCCAAGAAGGGAUUUGGGGAGAGAGUUACACUUUUCCAGGUGUACACCUAGUGAAUUGACUUCUCACCAGGCCUCAUCUUCUAACAUCACAGUUAGCUAUAAUGUCUCCAUCAUUCUAUAACUUUUCAAAAGCUCCAUCUAUGAGCACAUGAGGAUUUGAAUUAAGGAUGACUUCUGAGUCUCAAGAAUGAGCAACUGUGGGAUGUUGUGUGCACUCAUUGAAAUAAAACACAUUAAGGAAGAGAUGAGUUACGUUCAGUUUUAUGUAUGUUACGUUAGAAAUGCCCAGCAGAUUUCUGAGUAGAAGUAUCAGGUUAGCAAUUGGACAUAUGAGUAAGUAGUGAAGGAACUGUCCAGUCUACAAAUAUAAUUUUUGGGUUCAUCUAUGUCACUUAAAGUUAUGAAAUUGUAUAAAGUCAUCAAAGGGAACUAAUUAGUGGAAAGAAUGGAAGAGACUGAGGAUAGAGCUGUGGAUAGUAACUCUUGGAGGUAAAGAAGAGGAUGAGGUAGGCCAGGAAACAUCGAAGGGAUAGCUAUUAAUAUGGAAGAACCGUAGGUUGAAAUGCCCAGAAAAAUGGGAAAAAAAAGUGUUUCUAAAAGGAAGAGAUCAUCCAUGUCGUGUUGCUUAGAAACUUGUAAGAACGCUAAACUCACCUUUGGUUAGAUGAAGGUCCUGAUGACCUUCACAAGAAUGGAUUAGUCACAAUGGUAGGGAAAAAGGCAACUGUAUGAAGAACGAUGUUGAGCAGGUAUAGAGAGUCGAGAGAGAUCUUUGAAGGAAACUGCAAAUAGAAGGAUCAAAGAAUAUUGUGGUAUCACAGUGUGUUAGUGUUUUUAUGGGAAUGAUUCAUAGCAGAGAAUAUGGAUAAGAAUAUGCAUGAGAAAGGCUGUAAUUGUAGGAGCUGGUGUUUCAGCAGGCUUCUAGACAAGGAUCUCACAGCAUGAGUACAUGGGCAGGACUUAUCUAUGAGCAGGAUGAGCUUCUUCAUAGCAUGGGUGGAAAGUUUGAACAUAGAGAUACAGACACAUAAAUAGUGAUGGAUUGUGAUAGGAAGAAGAGGAAGAUAUUUUCAAGUUGAUUCUAUGUCCACACUACAAUAGGAAGUAAAACAUUGGUUGAAAGGAAGAGGUUGGAGAAAAAAGAAGUGGUGAAAUAAGUGUCUACAGUCCUAGAUUUCAGGAGAAUGGGAGAGUAAUUAUGGUGCAGUGUGCAUAUGCCAGGCAACACAGAAGGGCAUCUCAGAUGGGGGUUGACAGUACUGAAAAGAGGCUGUAUAUACUGUUGUGUGUUCCAUUGUUCAUAGCAAUGGUUCUUAACUGGAGUCAGCGUUUCCCCCACAGUACAUCUGGCAAUGUUUGAGGACAUUUUAGCUGUCACAACUGUGAAGGGGGAAGGGUGGUUCUACUUGAAUUACAGGUUGGAGA